UCAGAACUGUUAAUAUACCAUGACAACUCCCACCACGUGCACAGAAUUAAGUUGAGAACAAGAAAGAACGUUUGUACUUCGAGCAGGAGCACUGCUUCACGUGAACAUCAUUUUGGGGUUGAACGGAAUUCAUUUUCAAUAGAUGCUGGAAAUGAUGAAACUUCUCAUAUUUCUGCUGAGCCAAUUUUCUAAAUCUGUUUUAAGAAAGUGUUAUCCUUAUAAACUCUUCAACUGGAAGGCUGUUUGUUGUUUGCUACUCCAACAAUAUCAUGGUCAUUUUUCUUCUCAUUUGCUUCAUCCAGAGACUAGCUAAUCUCUGAUUCUGCUUAUGGAUUCCUGAACUCCUAGAGGAAAAUCCUCUCUUUCUUCACUAUCCAGGCCUGGCAUUUAUAGCCCUGGAUGAAGACAACAAUUUCUUCAAUUUGUUGUUCAUUGUCACCAGAGGGAGCUUUUGGAAAUGAAAUCUGGCUGGAACCUAUCUCUGCCUAAGAUUCUUCUUGCUUUUUAAUGAGAGUUGUCCCACCACUGUGUGAUGGAGCCAUGACUGGCUUGCUGGACGCUGUGAUCAAGUGUAGCAGAAUCAGCCCAGUUACUGCAUUUGAGGCUCUGAAUAUGUGUAAGAGCUCAGACAAGAUGGUCAGAGCCAUGGCGUCAAUCCACAACUCUGUGCAGACACUUGAGUAAGCCCAGACGACACCAGAAACAUCACAUAGGCAACGAGCAGACCAUGGGCUAAAUAAAUGCUCAUUUCAAAUCA